rnacentral:rRNA from 1 species
UACCAGCACCCCGAGUGGUCGGGACGAUUAUUGGGCCUAAAGCAUCCGUAGCCGGUCCUGCGAGUCUUCCGUUAAAUCCAGCUGCUCAACAGAUGGGCUGCGGAAGAUACUACAGGGCUAGGAGGCGGGAGAGGCAAGCGGUACUUUAUGGGUAGGGGUAAAAUCCUUUGAUCCAUAGAAGACCACCAGUGGCGAAGGCGGCUUGCCAGAACGCGCUCGACGGUGAGGGAUGAAAGCUGGGGGAGCAAACCGGG